GUAGGGUGCGAGCGUUAAUCGGAAUUACUGGGCGUAAAGCGUGCGUAGGUGGUUCGUUGUGUCUGUGGUGAAAGCCCCGGGCUUAACCUGGGAAUGGCCAUGGAAACUGGCGAGCUGGAGUGUGGCAGAGGAGGGUGGAAUUCCGCGUGUAGCAGUGAAAUGCGUAGAGAUGCGGAGGAACACCGAUGGCGAAGGCAGCCCUCUGGGCUAACACUGACGCUGAGGCACGAAAGCGUGGGGAGCAAACAGGAUUAGAUACCCUGGUAGUCCACGCCCUAAACGAUGUCAACUGGGUGUUCGGGAAGCGAUUCCUGGGUACCGUAGCUAACGCGUGAAGUUGACCGCCUGGGGAGUACGGCCGCAAGGUUA
rnacentral:rRNA from 1 species